AUGAAAUUCUUCUCAUCUCUUCCCAGAACAAUGUGUCUUCAGAAAAAGAAAAAAAAAAGAAAAGAGAAAGAAAAGCACCUCCAAAGCACAAAACCAGAAGAUGGAAGGAAGAAGAAGAUGGGCUGGAAAUGUGGGGGAGAGAGAAAGAGAAAUCAAGGGACUAAAAAUAAUAUGAUGUAGCAGCAUUUCUCUGGGCAGUUGCUCUGCUGGAAAUAUGAUGGACCUCCUCCAAGUGUAAUCUGCCUUCAACAACUGGAUGGCAUCACAAGUCUCGAGUUUAUCAGCCCUGUAAGUUCUUUAAUUUUCAAGGUCACUAGUAAAUCCUGUGCAACAUUUUGAUGUGAUUGUUGCUGGGAAUACAAAUUGCCGGUUUCUACCAUAACUAGCAAUCAA
rnacentral:lncRNA from 1 species